AGGUAUAGUGAGCAGUCUCGUUUGUAUUUUAAGCUGGACAAACGCGACACAUAUCAAAAUUUUAGAUAUUAAGUGUGACAUCGGUUGAAUAAUAUAGUAUAACCCGAACGAAUCGUAAUGUUGGUGGACAAGCGUAUCAUAGGAAUUAUAAAACAAAAUUUUUAACUGAAAAGGAAUGACAGGUAUAUGCUUUGCAUGCUUAUAUUUCAGCAACAGUGAAAAUGCCGUAAAAUGUUAGAUCGACGCUAAUAGAAGACGAACGUAAAUUGUGCAUUUUCGGCAUAAAGGGGCGAAAAACAGUAUGGAGGUGAUCAGAGACAGCAUUUCAAAAAGAAAACUUACUUUUAACGGUGGAACCUGGUGGUGGUGGAGUAAUAGUUUGGAGGUUUAUGUCGGUUAAUGGGGUUGGUAACCUUAUGUCGGUUAACGGGGAAUAAUUUGGGAGCAAACUGGACGAAAUCUCGGCUUUGUUAAGGAUUAUUAUUUUCAGCAUGAUAUUGAUCUCAAGAUCUCUAGACCUUAAUCCCACUGAACAUUUAUGGGACUCACCUGAGAGAAGGAUUCGUCAAUACAAUAUAACUAGCAAAGAAAUGUUGAGAAUUUCUCCCAGAGAAGAGUGGGGGAGAACUUCAUCUGAGGAGACAGCAAAGCUUACCAAUUUAAUGCCUAACUACUUACAACAAGUUAUUAAGAACAAGACAAUAUAUUUGUAAUUACCGGUAAUUUUAAAACUAUUAUUAAAUAUAUAAACAGAC